rnacentral:rRNA from 1 species
AUUGAACGCUGGCGGCAUGCCUUACACAUGCAAGUCGAGCGGCAGCGCGGGGGCAACCCUGGCGGCGAGCGGCGAACGGGUGAGUAAUGCAUCGCAACGUGUCCUCUUGUGGGGGAUAACCAGUCGAAAGACUGGCUAAUACCGCAUGAGAUCGCAAGAUGAAAGCAGGGGACCCGCAAGGGCCUUGCGCGAGAGGAGCGGCCGAUGCCUGAUUAGCUAGUUGGUGGGGUAAAAGCCUACCAAGGCGACGAUCAGUAGCUGGUCUGAGAGGACGACCAGCCACACUGGGACUGAGACACGGCCCAGACUCCUACGGGAGGCAGCAGUGGGGAAUUUUGGACAAUGGGCGAAAGCCUGAUCCAGCCAUGCCGCGUGCAGGAUGAAGGCCUUCGGGUUGUAAACUGCUUUUGUACGGAACGAAAAGGUUUGGCCUAAUAAGCUGAGCUCAUGACGGUACCGUAAGAAUAAGCACCGGCUAACUACGUGCCAGCCGCCGCCGUAA